rnacentral:rRNA from 1 species
GUGGGGAAUAUUGGGCAAUGGGCGAAAGCCUGACCCAGCAACGCCGCGUGAAGGAAGAAGGUCUUCGGAUCGUAAACUUCUAUCCUUGGUGAAGAUAAUGACGGUAGCCGAGAAGGAAGCCCCGGCUAACUACGUGCCAGCAGCCGCGGUAAUACGUAGGGGGCAAGCGUUGUCCGGAAUGAUUGGGCGUAAAGGGCGCGUAGGCGGCCUGGUAAGUCUGGAGUGAAAGUCCUGCUUUUAAGGUGGGAAUUGCUUUGGAUACUGUCGGGCUUGGGUGCAGGGGAGGUAAGUGGAAUUCCCGGUGUAGCGGUGAAAUGCGUAGAGAUCGGGAGGAACACCAGUGGCGAAGGCGACUUACUGGACUGUAACUGACGCUGAGGCGCGAAAGUGUGGGGAGCAAACAGGAUUAGAAACCCGUGUAGUCCC